rnacentral:rRNA from 1 species
GAUGAACGCUGGCGGCGUGCCUAAUACAUGCAAGUCGAGCGAACAGACGAGGAGCUUGCUCCUCUGACGUUAGCGGCGGACGGGUGAGUAACACGUGGAUAACCUACCUAUAAGACUGGGAUAACUUCGGGAAACCGGAGCUAAUACCGGAUAAUAUAUUGAACCGCAGGGUUCAAUAGUGAAAGACGGUUUUGCUGUCACUUAUAGAUGGAUCCGCGCCGCAUUAGCUAGUUGGUAAGGUAACGGCUUACCAAGGCAACGAUGCGUAGCAGACCUGAGAGGGUGAUCGGCCACACUGGAACUGAGACACGGUCCAGACUCCUACGGGAGGCAGCAGUAGGGAAUCUUCCGCAAUGGGCGAAAGCCUGACGGAGCAACGCCGCGUGAGUGAUGAAGGUCUUCGGAUCGUAAAACUCUUUUAUUAGGGAAGAACAAAUGUGUAAGUAACUAUGCACGUCUUGACGGUACCUAAUCAGAAAGCCCCGGCUAACUACGUG